rnacentral:rRNA from 1 species
UGUCUUUUGAGUACCUU